rnacentral:lncRNA from 1 species
GCACACAUGCUGCAUUAAGUUGAAGUAAAAACACACUAAUUAGAAUUGUUUUGCAGAUGAUACUUUCUUUUGAGCUUCCAUUUUCUUUAAUUCCACUCCUUAAGUUUAGCAGCAGCAGUACCAAGAUGGGACCUCACAAGAAUUCUAUGAUUGUGAGUUGUCAUUUACCCUUCUCUAUAUGUAUGCUACUUAAUUUUGGUUGUAACUUUAAGAUGGGAUUAGAUAUUCUUAAAUAAAGAUUGAAAAAAAUGUGACAAUCUUUGUGCAGAUAAUUACUAUCUCAUGGAUACUAGGCGCUGGGAUUAUUGGUAUAAAUGUGUACUACCUCAGUACUGCUUUUGUGAAGUGGCUAAUUCAUAGUAAUCUACCAAAGGUGGCAAAUGUGUUCAUUGGGAUUAUAGUGUUUCCUCUAAUGGUAAUUUAUAUUGUCUCAGUUAUUUACCUUACCUUUAGAAAAGACACUGUUGUGACAUUUAUCGAGACGAAGAACGACACGGUAAUGGCAAGCAACGUGGAAACAUGAAUUAUUGAUAAUGGUCCGUCAGAGUUAAACCAUGUUCCUUAUAGACAAGACUUAGCUGAUAUUCCACUACCAGAAUAAAGAAGGCUAUGAAUCAAAUCAAAUGCCUCACCAAGCAAGAAAUGUCAACAUAGCUUGUGAUGAUUACUAGUUCUCAAAAUGUUAGAAAUUGAUUGUAGUUUUAGGAUCCUGAGAAUCCUCUUUUGGAGUUUACACUCAUGUGCUAGUAGUGUGUAGUAACUUUGAGGUGUGAGUUUUGUAGUUUUGGCAAAAAUAUACAUAAAUUCGACGUUUCAACUAGAUUUUAAUAUUUAUGAUAAUAAUUUGAGAAAAUUUUCAAAUUUAAAAGAUCAAAUGUGUAAUUUGAUAUAAUCUUAAAGGUUAAUGGUGCAAAUUGAAUGUAACUUACAAAACCAAAUUAGAAAAAAAUACACUUAAAGGACCUAAAAAAAAUUGAGCUAAACAUAAAGGACUAAAAAUAUAUUUUUGUAUAUAAUUUUCAUUUUGUAAAAUGAAGUUCAUGAGAAAACUAGUUUAGUGUGAACCUCAUGCAUAGUAAGUAGUUAUUGAAUUUCUCCAGUAAAGUAAUAAAAGACACAACUGAAGGUAUAUCUUACGUUCUGUAUCCAUUGUUAUGCAUUCAUUUUCUCUGAUAAUGUAAAAUUAUUCCUGUCUUCAGUUUAAGUACACUUUUUCAACAAACAUUUAUAGAAAAAGACAAGUUGAAAUGAUCUUACGGUUGUUACUGUCUUCUAAGUAAUAGCUCCUAGUUGCUAUUAGAUUAUGAAUCUUAAUUUUUAAUUUUUUUGAAGAAUAUUUCACAUAAUAAUUUAAUAGUUUAAAAUUAUAGUCUGCAACCGCAAUAUAAAAGUUUUUGUGGAAGUUUCCACAAUAUCAAGAUUCCCAGGGUAACCACAACAACUACAAUUUUGAACCAUACUCAUCUAACUUCUCCACAAGCACCUAUGAGUUUAUAAAAAAUUUAUAACUUAGGGAGCAAGUACUUAUCUUAGUUGAUAUAAACAGCACAAAUUGGACCCUUAGAAAUGUUGGAUACAAGUUGAAGGUUUGAAAAGAACAUAGAAGCAUGAUUGAAAAUAGAAUACUUAUAUUUUGAGAGAAGAAAGUUCAAGGGAAUUCUCCUUUAAAUGUUUCUCAAUUGAAUUAAGAAACAGCUCCUCCUUCUAAUUCUAAACUCAAACUUAAUGAUGAUAACACAAUCAAAGAUUCAUAAGUAACAAUUUGAGGUAUAUGAAUUUCUAUAUUUCUAGGAAAUUCAAAAAUCUCUAUGAACUCUCACAUAUAGCACUAAUUUUGCAGAUAAUUCAGCAGAAUAAACAUGCAUGUUACUAUUGUUUGUAAAAUGAACAUACCUCAGCAAUGGCAUUGAAUUGAAGAGAUAAACAUGUUUGUCAACUAAACAUUUAUUGGGGGUGCCAAUAUGACUGGAUUCUGAGAAGUGAAUCUGGGCCACAGAAAAAUAAAAUGGAGGAGUAGCUUUAAAUAUUGAAAAUAGGAAAGAUAACAGCUUCAAAAGUCUUCUAUAUAACUUUUUUUUUUAGGCAAAGUCUUCCCUACCCUGUCUCUCAAAAGGUUCCCUACCGACAUUUUUUUAAAGAGAAAC